GACGAACGCUGGCGGCGUGCUUAACACAUGCAAGUCGAACGGAAAGGCCCUGCUUUUGUGGGGUGCUCGAGUGGCGAACGGGUGAGUAACACGUGAGUAACCUGCCCUUGACUUUGGGAUAACUUCAGGAAACUGGGGCUAAUACCGGAUAGGAGCUCCUGCUGCAUGGUGGGGGUUGGAAAGUUUCGGCGGUUGGGGAUGGACUCGCGGCUUAUCAGCUUGUUGGUGGGGUAGUGGCUUACCAAGGCUUUGACGGGUAGCCGGCCUGAGAGGGUGACCGGCCACAUUGGGACUGAGAUACGGCCCAGACUCCUACGGGAGGCAGCAGUGGGGAAUAUUGCACAGUGGGCGGAAGCCUGAUGCAGCAACGCCGCGUGCGGUAUGACGGCCUUCGGGUUGUAAACCGCUUUCGCCUGUGACGAAGCGUGAGUGACGGUAAUGGGUAAAGAAGCACCGGCUAACUACGUG
rnacentral:rRNA from 1 species